GAGGAAGACGUGGCUACCCUACUUGC
rnacentral:piRNA from 1 species